ACAGUACAAACUGAGCAGGCGAUGCCGAUUCUGGCAUGGGGCCGGGCUGCAUAAAGCGGCAGCGGAUGUGAGACUUAUUGCACAUCUGUGGGACAGUG
ncrna:unclassified sequences NiCo riboswitch